GUGCUCGCGUAGGCAGCACAUCUACUAAAACUGGAAGGACAUAGAGAAGAUUAGCCUGGCUCCUGUGCAAGGAUGACACACAAACUUGUAAAGUGUUCCAUAUCUAA
ensembl:snRNA U6 U6 spliceosomal RNA